AACGAACGCUGGCGGCAUGCCUAACACAUGCAAGUCGAACGAGACCUUCGGGUCUAGUGGCGCACGGGUGCGUAACGCGUGGGAACCUGCCCUUAGGUUCGGAAUAACUCAGAGAAAUUUGAGCUAAUACCGGAUAAUGUCUUCGGACCAAAGAUUUAUCGCCUUUGGAUGGGCCCGCGUAGGAUUAGCUUGUUGGUGGGGUAAUGGCCUACCAAGGCGACGAUCCUUAGCUGGUCUGAGAGGAUGGUCAGCCACACUGGGACUGGGACACGGCCCAGACUCCUACGGGAGGCAGCAGUGGGGAAUAUUGGACAACGGGCGAAAGCCUGAUCCAGCAAUGCCGCGUGAGUGAUGAAGGCCUUAGGGUUGUAAAGCUCUUUUACCAGGGAUGAUAAUGACAGUACCUGGAGAAUAAGCUCCGGCUAACUCCGUG
rnacentral:rRNA from 1 species